rnacentral:rRNA from 1 species
ACGAACGCUGGCGGCGUGCUUAACACAUGCCAGUCGAACGGAAAGGCCCUGCUUGCAGGGUGCUCGAGUGGCGAACGGGUGAGUAACACGUGGGUGAUCUGCCCCUUACUUUGGGAUAAGCCUGGGAAACUGGGUCUAAUACUGGAUAGGACCAUGCUGUAGGUGGUGUGGUGGAAAGAUUAGUUUCGGUAAGGGAUGAGCUCGCGGCCUAUCAGCUUGUUGGUGGGGUAAUGGCCUACCAAGGCGUCGACGGGUAGCCGGCCUGAGAGGGUGGACGGCCACAUUGGGACUGAGAUACGGCCCAGACUCCUACGGGAGGCAGCAGUGGGGAAUAUUGCACAAUGGGCGCAAGCCUGAUGCAGCGACGCCGCGUGGGGGAUGACGGCCUUCGGGUUGUAAACUCCUUUCAGCCAUGACGAAGCCCUUGUGGUGACGGUAGUGGUAGAAGAAGCACCGGCUAACUACGUG